ACGCUGGCGGCACGCCUAACACAUGCAAGUCGAACGAAGUAGCAAUACUUAGUGGCAGACGGGUGAGUAACAUGUAGGUAUCUACCCUUUGGCCUGGAAUAACACGAGGAAACUUGUGCUAAUACCGGAUAAGUCUUUACGGAGAAAGCUUUAUGCACCAUUGGAUGAGCCUGCACUUGAUUAGUUUGUUGGUAGGGUAAUGGCCUACCAAGACUGUGAUCAAUAGCUGAUUUGAGAGGAUGAUCAGCCACAUUGGGACUGAGACACGGCCCAAACUCCUACGGGAGGCAGCAGUGGGGAAUCUUGCACAAUGGAGGAAACUCUGAUGCAGCGAUGCCGCGUGAGUGAAGAAGGCCUUUGGGUUGUAAAGCUCUUUCGUCGGGGAAGAAAAUGACUGUACCCGAAUAAGAAGGUCCGGCUAACUUCGUGCCAGCAGCCGCGGUAAUACGAAGGGACCUAGCGUAGUUCGGAAUUACUGGGCUUAAAGAGUUCGUAGGUGGUUGAAAAAGUUGGUGGUGAAAUCCCAGAGCUUAACUCUGGAACUGCCAUCAAAACUUUUCAGCUAGAGUAUGAUAGAGGAAAGCAGAAUUUCUAGUGUAGAGGUGAAAUUCGUAGAUAUUAGAAAGAAUACCAAUUGCGAAGGCAGCUUUCUGGAUCAUUACUGACACUGAGGAACGAAAGCAUGGGUAGCGAAGAGGAUUAGAUACCCUCGUAGUCCAUGCCGUAAACGAUGUGUGUUAGACGUUGGAAAUUUAUUUUCAGUGUCGCAGUGAAAGCGAUAAACACACCGCCUGGGGAGUACG
rnacentral:rRNA from 1 species